GGUGGCUCAGUGGUAGAGCGCUUGCUUUGCACACAUGAGGCCCUGGGUUCGAUUCCCCAGCACCA
rnacentral:tRNA from 1 species